GCAGCCACUUGGCCCCACCCCAUUGUUGUGACAGCCCUGAUUGUCCUUGUACACUGCAUCUGAGCAGGGAACAGUCUCAACCUCAUGCUGCCCUCUCCCAUUCUCCUAAACCUGUGGAAUACAGAUGUCCUUAAUGUUCAGUGGUGUGUGUUCUUCUAAUGGCCGCCUUCCCACUGGAGGUUUUGAUCCACAGCAAUUUAAAAGGUAAACAGCUUUGAAAGUCAGUUCAAAUGGUUAGCUAAUAGUAUUUUAAAAAGCUUACUUCUCUGUCACCAGUUUCUUUACCAAAAAGUACCCAUAAAAGUAUCUCUCAAUAGCAUAUCAUUGUAGUUUAAAUGUUUAGUUGUACAAAUAUCAGAUUUUGGGAAAUCUAAAACUAGUCAGACACUCAAAUGUUCAUGCUUUUUAUAGGAGGACAGAACAAAACGGACAUUGGCGCAGAGUGAAGAACUGCCCUAGGACACUAUGACAGCCAUAUAUAUGGCAGUAAGGAAGAGGUUUCCCAAUGUGUCCAGAAGGGCUUUGAAGAUUGCAGUGAAAGCUGGGGGAACUGAGACUGCUGGAAAAGGAAAAGAAAUUACAUUUUAAGUAUGUUGACUUAUGUUCAUACAAUCACACACACAUA